rnacentral:rRNA from 1 species
CAGUCGCCGCGGGAAUACGAAGGGUGCAAGCGUUAAUCGGAAUUACUGGGCGUAAAGCGUGCGUAGGCGGUGAGUUAAGUCUGCUGUGAAAUCCCCGGGCUCAACCUGGGAAUGGCAGUGGAUACUGGCUCGCUAGAGUGUGUCAGAGGAUGGUGGAAUUCCCGGUGUAGCGGUGAAAUGCGUAGAGAUCGGGAGGAACAUCAGUGGUGAAGGCGGCCAUCUGGGACAACACUGACGCUGAGGCACGAAAGCGUGGGGAGCAAACAGGAUUAGAUACCCCGGUAGUCCCUGUCUCUUAUAC